rnacentral:misc_RNA from 1 species
UUCUUAUUAGUUAUUAGCUUUUAGAUUUAUGAUUGAUUUAAAUUGGGUUCAUUUUCUUAUUGCUAAUUGCUGUUAGGUCUUAUUGUAAAUUAUUAGAAAUAUUGUAAUUGAGUUUAUGACUAUGUUAUCAAAAGUAUUAAUAUCUAUUAUUAUAAUUAGAAUAUGGUAUUAUAACUUGGUUUGUAUAUUGCAUUGUUGCUACUUGCUAUUAGGUAAAUA